AACCGCAAAGCGCUCAGUAAACCAGGUUUUAAUUUACUAGAGUACAUGCCUUUCGCGGGUCGUGGAUAACUGUGGUAAUUCUAGAGCUAAGACAAGCAACCAGCCCUGACCUUAAUUGGAAAGGGCGCUUUUAUUGACCAGACCCAUCGCCCGGCUUGUCUGAGCGUUGGCUUGGUGACUCUAGAUAACACCUCACUUCGCACUGUCUCCGUACUGGCGACACAUCUAUCAAAUGCCUGACUUAUCAACUGUCAAUGGUAGACUCCUUGUCUACCAAGGGAUUACGGGUAACGGGGAAUCAGGGUUCGAUUCCGGAAGGGAGCCUGAAAAACGGCUACCACAUCCAAGGAAGGCAGCAGGCACGCAAAUUACCCAUUUCCAGAACGGAGAGGUAGUGACAAAAAAUAACGAUACGGGACUCUAUUGAGGCCCCGUAAUCGGAAUGAGUACACUUUAAAUCCUUUAACAAGGAUCCAUUGGAGGGCAAGUCUGGUGCCAGCAGCCGCGGUAAUUCCAGCUCCAAUAGCGUAUAUUAAAGUUGUUGCAGUUAAAAAGCUCGUAAUUGGUUUUGCGUGCCACGCUGCCGGUUCGCCGCCGUCGGUGCAACUGGCACGCUGUGGCUCGACCUGUCGGGGUGAACGGGUCCCACGCGUGUGGUCUUUGGUCUCGGCCGAAGCCGCUGCCGUGGGCAAACGUUUUGCCGAAACCCUGCCCGGUGCUCUUAAACGAGUGUCGAGGUAGGCCGACAAAUUCACUUUGAACMAAUUAGAGUGCUUCAACAGGCUAAGAUUCCAGCCUGAAUAGUGGUGCAUGGAAUAAUGAAAUAGGACCUCGGUUUUGUUUUGUUGGUUUUUGGAACACCAAGGUAAUGAUCAAUGUGGACAGGCGGGGGCAUACGUAUUGCGGCGUAGAGGUGAAAUUCU
rnacentral:rRNA from 1 species